rnacentral:rRNA from 1 species
AUGAGACCCAAAGACAUCGCCCCGAAGAUUUUUGACCUAUCAAAAAGAAGGGGAUGUUCGGUUCAGAAGGCUUUGGAUAAUAACUUCUGGGUCUCUCAAGUCAAAACAGAUGGGAUCACCUCCGCUACACACCUGACCGAGUUCGUCAACCUUUGGGAGAAAUUAUCUGUGGUACAACUCAACCCCGACGUGGCUGAUUCUAUCUCUUGGAAGCUUUCUAAUGAUGGCUCUUACUCCGCGUCCUCGGCCUACAAGGUCCAGUUCCUGGGCUUAGUUGACUCCAACAUGCAACAGUUGGUGUGGAAGAUCUGGGCUCCCCCCAAAUGCAAAUUCUUUGCUUGGCUUGUGAUCAACAAUAGGAUAUGGACGGCCGACAGGCUCCAACGCGUGGAUGGCCUAACUAUGAUCGCUGCCCCCUCUGCAAGCAAGUUCAGGAAACCGCGGCUCACCUCCUUUUCCAAUGUCGCUACACGGUCCGAGUUUGGGAAAUGA